ACUCUGACACCCUCUCACAGAGAAUCAUCUCUUUAACAUUUUAUCAAGCUCACUCUCUUUCUAUAGAGAAAUGUGCUUUUUAUUAUCACAGUCCAAUGAGAGAAUAUCACUCUCUUUCUGUCUAUUCCCUCUACCCCCGUUUCCCAUCUCUCUCUCCCUCUCAGAAACUCUUAAUCUUUCCCGCUGUGCUAUUCGUAAUUCAUGAGGAUUUCCCACAUUUAUCUACAACCAUGUGUGACUGAAUUAGUGGAAGAGGGGAAAUGCAGGGACAGUGUAUUUCCAUGGCAACGGGAGUUGUUGAAGCAUUUUUUCUUCUUCUGGUGUUACUGUGGGGACAAUAGUAAUGGCCCAGGGUGGCAGGCUGGCGGAACGGCACUACAAGCUGGGUUUAGAGAGGUGUGUGUGUGGGUCGGGUGGCAGGGCCUAGUCAGGGCCCGGUGGAGGCAGAAGGUGGAGAGGCAGAACCACGACAGGUCAGAACAGAUCUGUUGACAGCUUGGCUGAGGACCACAACACCGGCAUGGAAGAGUGAUGUCCACCGGCUCUGAGGAGGGGGAGAAUGAGGAGAGGAAGGCACUUCCAGCAAGUGUACUACGACUGGCACACAGAUCUUCUCCUCACACACUGGCUUUACUGACUCUUGCCCACUAGGUGGCACCACAUCCACUGUCAGACCGGCAUCGUCACAGCCAGAGGGAUGUACUGCUUCCGCUACUCCAUGUACAGCAACAACUCUGGCCGUCCCAACUCUGUGGUGUCUCUGAUGAAGAACAGUGAGAUGCUGGUUACUACGUGGAACACUGAUGACAGUAUGAAUGUCCACGAAAGCGCUAGCAACGCAGCGGUAGUGCAACUGGAGGUGGGAGACGGUGUGUAUAUCCAGCUCUGGGCUAACAGGGUCCUCUAUGACGACCGUAAUAACUAUAACACCUUUACUGGGUUCCUACUGUUCCUGUGUAACAAGACC